rnacentral:rRNA from 1 species
UCGGUGCGUCAACUGCUUUACGUACGGGAGACUCUGACUGUACUAAGGAUAGCACGGCUAACUGCGUGCAGCAGCGCGGUAUACGGAGGGUGCAAGCGUAACUCGGAAUCACUGGGCGUAAAGGGCGCGUAGGCGGAUUAUCAAGUCUCUUGUGAAAUCUAAUGGCUUAACCAUUAAACUGCUUGGGAAACUGAUAGUCUAGAGUGAGGGAGAGGCAGAUGGAAUUGGUGGUGUAGGGGUAAAAUCCGUAGAUAUCACCAAGAAUACCCAUUGCGAAGGCGAUCUGCUGGAACUCAACUGACGCUAAGGCGCGAAAGCGUGGGGAGCAAACAGGAUUAGAUACCCUGGUAGUCCACGCCCUAAACGAUGUACACUAGUUGUUGGGGUGCUAGUCAUCUCAGUAAUGCAGCUAACGCAUUAAGUGUACCGCCUGGGGAGUACGGUCGCAAGAUUAAAACUCAAAGGAAUAGACGGGGACCCGCACAAGCGGUGGAGCAUGUGGUUUAAUUCGAAGAUACGCGAAGAACCUUACCUGGGCUUGAUAUCCUAAGAACCUUUUAGAGAUAAGAGGGUGCUAGCUUGCUAGAACUUAGAGACAGGUGCUGCACGGCUGUCGUCAGCUCGUGUCGUGAGAUGUUGGGUUAAGUCCCGCAACGAGCGCAACCCACGUAUUUAGUUGCUAACGGUUCGGCCGAGCACUCUAAAUAGACUGCCUUCGUAAGGAGGAGGAAGGUGUGGACGACGUCAAGUCAUCAUG